GAUGAAGAACGUAGUGAAAUGCGAUAAGUAAUGCGAAUUGCAGAAUUCAGUGAGUCAUCGAAUCUUUGAACGCACAUUGCGCCCUGUGGUAUUCCGCAGGGCAUGCCUGUUCGAGCGUCAUUUCAACCCUCAAGCCUCGCUUGGUGUUGGGCCCUGCCCGCCGCGGCCGGCCCUAAAGAUAGUGGCGGCGCCGCCUGGCCCUCAGCGUAGUACAGCUCUCGCUCCAGGGUCCGGCGGCAGCCUGCCAGAACCCCCCAACUCUGUGGUUGACCUCGGAUCAGGUAGGGAUACCCGCUGAACUUAAGCAUAUCAAUAAGCGGAGGA
rnacentral:misc_RNA from 1 species